UAUUCCUGGCCAGCCCCUUGGCUAGCCGGCUUCCUAAAGAAGGACGGGAUUUGUAGUUUCGUGGGUGCUUUUUUUAAUGAGCAAAACUUUAUUGCCAUUCCACUUCACAGGUGCCGUCACGCUUUCCAAGUCAUUGGCGUUACAAACGAGGAAACUAUUCUGGCCUCCAGUCAUUCAGCCGGUCAUUCAACAAACGUAUACGUGAUCUCCAUACCCAACGUGGGGCUCAAACUCAUGACCUCAAGAUCAAGAGCCACGUGUUCUCCCAAUUGAGCCAUCCAGGCACCCCUAUUUUAUUAGUUAUAAAAUAAUUCUGAUUCUGAAAGUUGGAGAAGAAGCCAAAAUCCAACCAUGAUUUCAAAACUCAGAGCAGAGUCCUAGAAGUGGAGAUAUUGGGCCAAAGCAUGGGCACAGUCUUAAGAAUACAGUCACACAAAUUGGCCUGGGGUCAGCUCUAUCAAGGUUUAAGCUCCUGCAGGAUCAGAGAGUUCUAUAACUACCAGGGUAUUUCUGGGAUUAGCGAUCCAGCAACGUAAAUAACCUACCCAGAUGCUUCAUGAAGUAUAUAAGUUUCGAAUAAGUCUAUCCUGACCAUGCUUCCUAAAUCUAAUAUUGAAUCACACAAGCUGACAGCGGGGCAAAAAAAUUGACAUCACAUUGUACUGGAAAACUUUCAAGAGAAGCAGGAUAGAACUGAGAGUGCAAAAGCCUCCCUGAUUUUGUUUUUGUUCAGAGAAGUUGCCACAAAAGAGUAUGUGUUGCAUAUAGCCAAACGCUGAUUCUUCUCUGGAAAUACCUGCCCCUCGGGUGCUUAAAAAUGAGCAUUUCAUCAUCGUGACUUCAAACUGAGGCCUCAGUAGUUAGUAAUGCCUAAACGUGACCUCAUUUUCUGAGAACGAGGAAAGUGACUACAGGACGCAAGACAAUAAUAACAGCUGGCAGUUUUAACGCGUUUUAAGUGCUUGCUGCCCGCCAGCAUUGUUCAGAUCACUCUGCCUGAGUCAGCUUAUUGAAUUCCUAUUAUCACCCCGUUCUUCCAGGUGGCAUAGCUGAGACAGAGAGAGGCAAUGUAUCUCGCCCAACGUCACAGAGGUAGGAGCAGAGCACGGACUUAAACCCACACCCUCUGGCCCCAGAGUCUGUGGCCUUGACCCCUCGGCUGCCCUGCCUCUUGGGCUUGAAGAAAACAGAGCAGAGACACGGUUAAAGUUGAUGGUAUUUUCCUUAUAAGUUUGCCUUUGGUAGCUUUCGUUCCUCCACUUGUCCCCAGUUCUUCAUUUGUAAAUCCCGACAGUGUAUUUACCAGGAUGUUGUGGCAACUCGUUGUUUAAAUGUAUUCAUGGUUCCUUGCGUCUUGGAAGAAAGGCUACAUAAAUAUUACAGAACCAUUUAAAAAAAUAUAUGAAAUGUAUCCACCUGAACAUAUGACAACUGAAUUUCUUACCGUACAUAAAUAAAGGGGUGCUGACUUUCUAACCAAGUCUUGAGGACGUGGUUGCUCUGGGUCACUCUGCAUAGUUCACCAUGCAGACUGUUGGGGCUACAGGCCUAAAGAUCAGAUUCUACGUGAGGCCUCAGGAAACUGCAUCCCAGGCAGUGGCUAGGCCUCCGUGUGCCUUUUUCUUCAAACCUUCUACUAUACUAAAUGCCAUAAGAGGAAUUUGAGAAGAAGCAAUUGAAUGGAUAGUGAUACAUUCAUAUAGUGGAAUACUACUCAGCAAGGAAAAAAUGAACUAAAUACACAUACAACAUGGAUGAAUUUCACAGGCAUUUAUUUAUGUUGAAAGGAGGUAGACAUACUGUAUAGUUUUUUUUUCAUGUAGAGUUUAAGAAUAGGCCAAACCUAUUCCUAGACUAGGAAGGGGCACAAGGGAAACUUACGGAGUGGG